CUUGACAUCCAGAGAACUUGGCAGAGAUGCCUUGGUGCCUCCGGGAACUCUGAGACAGGUGCUGCAUGGCUGUCGUCAGCUCGUGUUGUGAAAUGUUGGGUUAACGUCCGCAACGAGCGCAACCCCUAUCCUUUGUUGCCAGCGAUUCGGUCGGGAACUCAAAGGAGACUGCCGGUGAUAAACCGGAGGAAGGUGGGGAUGACGUCAAGUCAUCAUGGCCCUUACGAGUAGGGCUACACACGUGCUACAAUGGCGCAUACAAAGAGAAGCGACCUCGCGAGAGCAAGCGGACCUCAUAAAGUGCGUCGUAGUCCGGAUCGGAGUCUGCAACUCGACUCCGUGAAGUCGGAAUCGCUAGUAAUCGUAGAUCAGAAUGCUACGGUGAAUACGUUCCCGGGCCUUGUACACACCGCCCGUCACACCAUGGGAGUGGGUUGCAAAAGAAGUAGAUAGCUUAACCCUCGGGAGGGCGUUUACCACUUUGUGAUUCAUGACUGGGGUGAAGUCGUAACAAGGUAAGCGUAGACGU
rnacentral:rRNA from 1 species